rnacentral:rRNA from 1 species
GUCUACGGCCGUGACGCGUUGGUACACCUGAUCCCUUGAUCUCUGAAGUUAAGGAAUGUGCAGUCGGGUCAGUACUUAGAUGGGAGACCAAGGAAGACUGGAUGCUGUAGCCG